CAUCAGAUCCUCGGCGAGGGCAUAGCUUCCCCGCUGC
rnacentral:sRNA from 1 species